rnacentral:rRNA from 1 species
AUACUGGCCAGAGACCGAUAGCGCACAAGUAGAGUGAUCGAAAGAUGAAAAGCACUUUGGAAAGAGAGUCAACCAGCACGUGAAAUUGUUGAAAGGGAAGCGCUUGCAGCCAGACUUGCCCGCGGUCGUUCUUCUUCCGCGGGCAGGCCAGCAUCAGUCUGGGCGGUCGGAUAAAGGCCUCGGGAAUGUAGCUCUCUUCGGGGAGUGUUAUAGCCCGGGGCGCCAUGCGGCCAGCUCGGACUGAGGUCCGCGCAUCUGCUAGGAUGCUGGCGUAAUGGCUGUAAGCGGCCCGUCUUGAAACACGGACCAAGGAGUCUAACAUCUAUGCGAGUGUUUGGGUGUCAAGCCCGGGCGCGCAAUGAAAGUGAACGGAGGUGGGAACCCCUCGGGGCGCACCAUCGACCGAUCCUGAUGUCUUCGGAUGGAUUUGAGUAAGAGCAUAGCUGUUGGGACCCGAAAGAUGGUGAACUAUGCCUGAAUAGGGUGAAGCCAGAGGAAACUCUGGUGGAGGCUCGCAGCGGUUCUGACGUGCAAAUCGAUCGUCAAAUUUGGGCAUAGGGGCGAAAGACUAAUCGAACCAUCA